rnacentral:rRNA from 1 species
GAUGAACGCUGGCGGCGUGCCUAAUACAUGCAAGUCGAACGCUGAAGCGAGGAGCUUGCUCUUUUUGGAUUAGCGGCGAACGGGUGAGUAACGCGUAGGUAACCUGCCUUUUAGCGGGGGAUAACUACGGGAAACGAUAGCUAAUACCGCAUAAUAAUGCAUGACACAUGUAUCUUAGUUGAAAGGGGCCUUUGCUCCACGACAAAAUGGACCUGCGUUUUAUUAGGUAGUAGGUGAGGUAAAGGCCCAACUAAGCGAAGGUACAUAGCCGAGCUGGGAGGGUGGUCCGCCAAACUUGGACCGGGGCCACGCCCAGAACCCUAACGGAGGGAAGCGGUGGGGAACUUCGGACAAUGGGGGAAAGCUGGCCGAAGCAAGCCCGCGUGGGGGAGGAAGGUCUCCGGUCGGUAAACUCCGUUGUUAGUGAAAGAAGAGUGGGAGAGUGAAAAGUUCACGUUGUGACGGUAGCUAAACAGAAAGGGACGGCUAACUACGUG